rnacentral:rRNA from 1 species
AACGGCCAUGCCAUGCUGAAUAUACCGGUUCUCGUUAGAUCACCGAAGUCAAGCAUCAUUGGGCGCGGUCAGUACUUGGGUGGGUGACCACCUGGGAACACCGCGUGACGU